rnacentral:lncRNA from 1 species
AGACGAGUGUUUUUGGUACUUUAGAUUUUCAUGUGAAAAUAGUUUUCAACAACAUUAAAGAGGUGGAUCAGUUUUCUCGCUGUUCUGAUCGUGCAGAAUGGACACCCAUGGUACCGUACAAUGAUAGCACUACCAUUCUCUAGAAUAUCCUAUCCUGAAAUUCUGCCAUGAUAUUAGGAUUUGGUUGAUAUUAGUGGAACAAUGUGUAUAUGAUAAAGAGUACAAGCAAGCGGCAUUGCUUAAAAAUGUCGCUUCCCCCAUUGUUUCGUGAUGUUUACGGUGUAACUCUUAACUUAUUUAUAUAGGAAACUCUUAACUUGUUCAAUCAGCAAAGGGGAUAUACUAUCACAUUCAUCUUCCUUUCUUCAAAAGACAAUUUUAAAUGCUUCCACCGUAAAUGCUUCCACAUGCUCACCUAAUCUAGCUGCCUUGCACUUUGCGUCAAAGAGAGUUGAGCCAGGUCAUUCUAAAUAUUCAUACCUAUCACUUUCGAUUAACAUACCAUUUCUAGUGAUGAAACCUCUUGAAACCCAACUAGUGGAAUGUGCGCAAUAAUUCAGUUUUUUUACUGGUUUCUUUGUGUGAAGAUAGAAGAGUGUUUUUUGGCACUUCAGAUUUUCAUUUGAAAGUAGUUUUGGACAACAUUAAAGAGGUGGAUCAGUUUGCUGGAUAUGUCAUAUCACCAUGCCAUUUUUGCAUGAAUGAGACACUAGUACCUAACUAUCUUCCAUUUUGUGCAGGUGGAAAUUUGAUGCUCCUCUAGUAAGCGCCGCUUCGCGUCAGCAGAGCAGCGUAGUAAAUACUGAAGAUGGUCACUAGAGCAGCAAAAAUUUUGUGGGCAAUAGAAAUCAGGGCAAAAUCAGACUGCUACGGCUCGUCUGAUUUGUGUGAGUCUCCUCUGAUGCAUCCUUGUACCAAGACAUCUCAACUCUUGAGUAACAUAAGGCAGCUCAGCUUAUUUGUUGGGACCCUACAGAAAGUCACAGACCAUACAUCUGAAUCCAUGUUCUGUAUCAUCCUGUAAAAAUAGAUAAAAAAAGUUUAAUUAUAUGCACCAUUCAUGGCUUCUCUAAUAGUAAGAGUUCUCUUAGGCGCAUUGUUUUCGUGUAAUAUAGGUCAGAGCAGAUGGGCUCGCCAAAUUGGUCUGGGGUUAAGACAUUUGUUUGUGUAAUGGUGUGAAAUCAUAACGAUCCAGCUCUCAGUUUUCUAAUACUGCCUUUGUCCUACAAGGCGAUUUUGCAAGCUAUGUUGCUUGCAAAAACGUCUUAUAUUAUGGAACGGAGGAAUUACGAAGUACAUUUCCCCCCUCUUAAAUAGGAGAUGGGACGGAAGAAGUACUAGCUAAUUUUUUUAAAAUAAUACAAUUUUUAUAUUAAAUUUCAGAAAUAUUACGCCGUAUUUAUAUUUUUUAAAAAUAUUAUCCAGUUAGCCUACUGCUGGCCGAUUGGAUCCAAUCGGCCUACUGCUGGCCGAUAGGCCCCCAGUCAGCCCACUGCCGGCCGAUUGGAUCCAGUCGGCCCACUGUUGGCCGAUUGGCCCCAGUCAGCCCACUGCUGGCCGAUUGUCACCCAGUCUGCUUCCUCUAGGCCGACAGCCGACAGGUGCAUGCACCCAUCUAUUUGUUGAAUAGUUAUUUGAAAAAUGUUGAAGAAGUAUUUGAAAAAAUGUUGAUCAUGCAUAUAAAAAUGUUAAUCAAGCAUUUUUAAAAAAUGUUGCACAAGUAUUUGAAAAUGUUGAACAAAUAUUUGAAAACCGUCGAAUAGGUAUGUGAAUAAUGUUGAAGAAGUAUUUAAAAAAAUGUUGAUCAUGUAUAUAUAAAAAUGUUAAUCAAGCAUUUGCAACAAAUGUUAAACAAGUAUUUGAAAAAAAUAUUGAACAAGUAUUUUAAAAAAUAUUGAUAAUGUAAAUAAAAAUUUUAAUCAUGUAUAUAAAAAUGUUGAACAAGUAUUUGAAAAAAUUUGAACAAGAAUUUAAUUUUUUUGAACAAGUAUUUAAACAAAUAAUAUAGAAAGAAAAAAAAAAGAAUGAAAUAAUGGAGAAGACCGGCUCAGUCAUCUCUAGUUGGUCGCGAUCCCUUUUCUAACCAGCAAUUGGAAACUAAUGGGGUGGUUAGCUGCUCUGGUGAUUGCCAUGGAGACCAGACAUCGAUCCCCAACGCAGCUAAUAACUACCCCACCAGCUUCCAGAUGUUAAACUUUUUUUCAAAUACUUGUUUAACAUUUUUUAAAUACUUGUUCAACAUAUUUUAAAUACUUGUUCAACAUUUUUAUAUACAUGAUCAACAUUUCUACAAAUACUUGUUCAACAUUUUUAUAUACAUGAUUAAUAUUUUUUCAAAUACUUGUUGAACAUUUUUACAAGUACUUGUUCAACAUUUUUAUAUACAUGAUUAAUAUUUUUUCAAAUACUUUUUCAACAUUUUUUAAAAUACUUGUUCAACAUUUUUUGCAAAUGCUUGAUUAACAUUUUUAUAUACAUGAUCAACAUUUUUUAAAAUGCUUCUUUAAUAUUUUUCAAAUACCUAUUCAACAUUUUUGAAAUAUUUGUUCAACAUCUUUAAAAUACUUGUUUAAUAUUUUUUUAGUGCUUGAUUAACAUUUUUAUAUGCAUGAUCAACAUUUUUUUAAAUACUUCUUCAACAUUUUUCAAAUACCUAUUUAUCAGAUAAAUGGGUGCAUGCACCUGUCGGCCUAGAGGAAGCAGACUGGGUGUCAAUCGGCCAGCAGUGGGCCGACUGAGGCCAAUCGGCCAGCAGUGGGCCGACUGGAUCCAAUCAGCCGGCAGUGGGCCGACUGAGGGCCAAUCGGCCAGCAGUAGGCCGACUGGAUCCAAUCGGUCAGUAGUAGGCCGAUUGGGUAAUAUUUUUAAAAAAUAUAAUUACGGCAUAAUAUUUCUGAAAUUUAAUAUAAAAAAUGUAUUAUUAAAAUUUUUUUAGCGAAGUACUAAGUACAUUUUUUCUCUUAAAGAGGAGGCAAAAGAUCUGCCUGAGUGAAAUAGAGAGUAAAAUGCACAGAACCACCACUUUAGCGUCCUAUUUCUCGUAAAACCAUCACUUUACAGAACUGACACUUUACACCGCGCCGAAAUUUUGACAGUGGCAAAAAACACUGAAUGCAAAAAUGAUCCCGUUUUGAUGUGGCAGAUCACUCGUGUGCCGACAGCGGGGGAUGGCGCGCCGCUAACGGCUGUUGAUUCGGCUGUCGGAAGCGGCCGACGCGGCUCGGUCGGACGCGAACCCAAGCGCUCUCUCCCUCUCUCUCUCCCCCCUCCCCAUCCCACCUCUCAAACUCGAGCGGCAUGGCGGCGGCUGGAUCUAUAGAAGGUGGACUCAGAUGCAUCGACGACGAGGGGGAAGAGCAGGAUGAGCAGAUGGGUCCGGAUGGUGGCGUGGGAGGGGGUAGUCGUGGCAGGGGGAGGAUUGCUGCGGCAGCAGCUUGUUUCGUUCAUUUCCGUUCAUCGUCGGCAACUGAGUCGUCAGCGGAUGUCACCCGUGGGGUGGUGGAGGAGCUACCCACUUCAAAGCGCCCCCCCUACUUGAGCUACAUUCAAAUCUGGAGCUCUCCCAUCCCCGAAUAACUAGGGUUUCAGAUUUGUAAUGCUAGCUGUUUGAUACUGUUAGUUCAGUUCAUAUUAAUUUUAGAAUGUUGAUGUCAACUACUUAAUGCUUCUGAAAUAAUUGAAUGUUGCUGCCAUAUGUUUUACUGAAUUCAUUCAACUACUGAAUGUUGUUGCCAUAUGUUUUACUGAAUUCAUUCAACUACAGAAUGUUUUCUGAAAUAAUUAAAUGUUGCUGCCAUAUGUUUUACUGAAUGUAUUGUAGUGUAAUACUGAAUUUUGUAUUGAAUCUGAACUAACUAAAUGUUGCUGCCCCAUUUUUGACUGAAUGCUAUUUAGUACUGAAUUUUUAGAUGAUGAACUAACUGAAUGUAGCUGCCCCAUUUGUCUACAAUUAGGGUUGGAGCUCACAUUUGGAAUGUGAGUUUCCAAUUCUAUGGUAGGGAUAACUUAGACAGGACAAUGGCCAACUCUGAAAUCACAUACAACACCCUGUUGGCCAUUAUGGAUUUGGAAGGCUUUGGGAGUACAGAUUAUAUUUAUUAUGUGAAGCAAGAGGGAAUUGGCAUAGCCAGUUUAGAGUUGCCUGACAGCAAUGCAAUAGUUCAGGAAAUGCUCAGAGAGUUUGACCACAACAGAUCUAUUAAGUUCAUUGUACUUAAAGGAGAUGCCCCAACCCCACUUGAUGCGAAUAGAGCUUCACAAAUAUGUGAGGAGCAGAUCCCCAACGGUAACAUAGGUGAGCCCCAAGGGGUUGUCAACACACAACAGAGCAUUAACCUCCAGAGAUAGGGCAAGUCAAGGUUGCCUUCUGAUGAUUCAGAGAAAGAUGAUGAUGAAAGUGAAGAUGGUCAAGAAGAAAGGGGUUUCAGACUUUCAGUGCUGAUUUUAUUUGGCAACCUGAGUUUGGUUAUGAUCCUAGACCAUUGGGUGUUGAUGAAGAAGAGGUUGAGUUGCUUCAUAGAUUGGAGCAGCUCAAGUUGCAGAGAGAGGAUCCUUGGUACCACUAUGGAGGAGACAUAGAUGUGGAUGAGCUUUACGAGCCUGAGGAAGAGGAAAUGGAUGACGAAGAGCAUGUGCCUUGAUACGUCUCCAUCGUAUCUAUACUUCUUUAUUGUUUCAUGCCAAUAUUAUACAAUGUUUACAUAUUUUUGGCAACAUUUUAUAUGAUUUAUUGGACUAACAUAUUGGUCCAGUGCCCAGUGUUCGUUCCUAUUUUUUGCAUGUUUUUCGCUUCGUAGAAUAUCCAUAUCAAACAAAGUCCAAACACAAUAAAAAUUUACAGAGAAUUAUUUUGUAAUAUUUGUGAUUUUUGGGACGUGAAAUCAAUGCAAACGGGGGCCCACAACUCCCAAGAUACCCCAGGGUGCACCCAGGUGUCUUGUGCCCUCCUCGUACGUCGGUUGAAGAUCUACUUCGGGCGCAAGGAAGCUUAUAUACAGAAAAAACAUGUUAAAAUCUCAACACAAUCGGAGUUACGGAUCUCCGGAUAUUUAAGAAACGAUUUUCGGCCAGAUCUAGGGAACGCGAAAUAGAAGAGAACAGAGAGGGAGAUCCAAUCUCGGAGGGGCUCCCACCCCUCCGCUGCCAUCGAGACCAUGGACCAGAGGAGGAACUCUCCUCCCAUCUAGGGGGGAGGCCAAGGAAGAAGAAGAAGAAGAAGAAGAAGGAGGGGGGCUCUCUCCCGGUGGCGCCGGAACACCGUCGGGGCAAUCAUCGUGUGGCGGCGAUCUACUCCAACAACUCUGUCAUCUUCACCAACAUAUUCAUCACCUUCCCCCAUC